AAUCAAGGAUUGUUCAAAUAUAAUUAAAAAAUGGGAGAGCGAUAGGUAUGAUAGGUAGUAUUUAGGAAUGUUGGCUGUAGGAUUUAAUCAACUUAAAUUAAACCGUUGGAUGAAGAGAAGGAAUACAAACUUUCAAUCCACUGGUGGAAAGUCUUUCCUCUUCCUCUUCCUCUCCCUUCUAUCUUUCUCAGUCGGAAAAGCCUUCCUUCUACUAGAUCCAGCCGGAGAAAGUGAACUCCGGUGGGAUCUCCAUUAGUUGGGAAACGUGGAUGCUCGCUGCUGCCACUACCUUUGCUGCCGUCACUGUUAUCGCCGAUGUUGCUCCCGCCACCGCCGUCGCCGCUGCAAGCAGAAGAGGUUGCUCCCCAUGACUCGCAAGUGAAAGCAGUUGCCGCUGCCAUUGCCGCUGGUGCCAUCUGUUGCCGCUGCCGUUGCUGCUUAGCGCCACUUUCGUUCAAUUCCACGACUAUGCUAACAUAUCGAUAAUGGCGGAGGGUUUUUUCGUAGAUCCAUUCAGGCGCUUCUUCUAGAGCCCUCCAAUCUUUCGAUAGUGGUCUGGAUCACUAGCCCUGAUGGAUUGGCUUGAAACCCCCAAUGCCCACAUCUACAAGGUCAACGUCCCAGGAUUCGAGAAGGAUGACAUAAAGGUUUAGGUAGAAGAUGGGAAUGUUCUACAGAAAAGGAUUUUCAUGCUAUGGAGGUCAUUGAGCGGCUAAGGUUAAAGGCUACCGCUGCUCCGAUGAACGAUCGUUGGAAAUAAUGAGGAGGAGAAGAGUGACGGUAGAGCGGCGGCAGGGUUGGUAGGUUCUGAUGACAACAAGUAAUCAACGGUAUUGACAUAACCUAUCUAAUCCCACGGCCAACAUUCACUAGCAUAUCCAAUUCCUAGGUAUGUCGCUAGCAUUUCUAUCAUUUUUCCCUUAAAAAAUAUACAUAAAUAUCAGAUGGUCCGGUCUGGUUUAGUGGGGCUAAAUCAGUUUUGAGGUGGGAUGGGAGAAUUCCAAAACCAAGCCAAUAAGGGAAUGGUUCGAUUUUGGUUGGUUUUGAAUUUGGUUUUCUUUUGUGGGGUUGUUAUUGGUUCAAUAUCUGGUUCAAUCUGGUUUACUUUGUGUAUAGGUUUCUUAUUGAUUUGAAUUUGGUUUUGAUUCGGUUUCGAUCAGUCCAAUGUGAUCUGUAUUUCAAACGGAUCCAAACUUUUUUAUAUAAAAACCAGCUCCAAACCGAAGUCAGUCA